ensembl:lncRNA
CUGGCUUACCAUUGGCUGCUGGCUUACCAUUGGCUGCUGGCUUACCAUUGGCUGCUGGCUUACCAUUGGCUGCUGGCUUACCAUUGGCUGGUUGGUUGUGAACUGCAGACUACUACUGGACUCUCUUCCUCCUUUGGACUGAAGCAACUGUCUAUUGAUAUGAAUCAUUGAUUUGCCGAUAAAUCGUAUCUUACUUUCGUAUUGAGUUUUGUCAUCGUUGUUGAAGGGAACUAUGAUCAUGCUAGCCUGAGUUCUAGACUGAGUGCCAGUCUGUCUGUGCUGUCAUGCCAACUCCUUGUCACUCAUUUAGCUUGACAAUGACAGCAUUGGAGUUAUCAAGAGAACAAACUGAUCUGGGACCAGGCUCUGCUCACCAGCUGACAACUCCAAUUUUUUAAAUGUUUAAAAGCUUUGACAUGAUGAGACCGGUCAGAAAUAUGCAGCGUCCCAUAAAACAACCCAGACCAGAACCGUAGGCCUGAUCACCGACAACGACGAGACAGCCUAUAGGGAGGAGGUCAGAGACCUGGCCGUGAGGUGCCAGGACAACAACCUCUCCCUCAACGACGAGACAGCCUAUAGGGAGGAGGUCAGAGACCUGGCCGUGAGGUGCCAGGACAACAACCUCUCCCUCAACGACGAGACAGCCUAUAGGGAGGAGAUCAGAGACCUAGCCGGGAGGUGCCAGGACAACAACCUCUCCCUCAACGACGAGACAGCCUAUAGGGAGGAGGUCAGAGACCUGGCCGGGAGGUGCCAGGACAACAACCUCUCCCUCAACGACGAGACAGCCUAUAGGGAGUAGGUCAGAGACCUGGCCGUGUGGUGCCAGGACAACAACCUCUCCAUCAACGUGAUCAAGACAAAGGGGAUGAUUGUGGACUACAGGGAAAAAAAGGACUAAGCACGCCCCCAUUCUCAUCGCCGGGGCUGCAGUGGAGCAGGUUGAGAGCUUCAAGUUCCUUGGUGUCCACAUCACCAACAAACUAACAUGGUCCAAGCACACCAAGAUAAGAGAAGAGGGCAAAACAAAACCUAUUCCCCCUCAGGAGACAAAAUAUUUGUCAUGGGUCCUCAGAUCCUCAAAAGGUUCUACAGCUGCACCAUCGAGAGCAUCCUGACUAGUUGCAUCAAUGCCUGUUAUGGUAACUGCUCGGCCUCCGACCGUAAGCCACUACAGAGGGUAAUGCGUAUGGCCCAGUACAUCACUGGGGACAAGCUUCCUGCCAUCCAGGACCUCUAUACCAGGCUGCGUCAGAGGAAGGCCCUAAAAAUUGUCAGACUCCAGCCACUCUAGUCUUUCUCUCUGCUACCGCAUGGCAAGCGGUACCAGAGUGCCAAGUCUAGGUCCAAGAGGCUCCUAAACAGCUUCUACCCCCAAGCCAUAAGUCUCCUGAACAACUAAUCAAAUGGCUCCCCAGACUAUUUGCAUUGCCCCCCUCUUUUACACCACUGUUACUCUCUGUUGUUAUCAUCUAUGCAUUGUCACUUUAAUAACUCUAUGUACAUAUUACCUCAACUAACCGGUGCCCCGGCACAUUGACUCUGUACCGGUGCCCCCUGUAUAUAGCCUCCACAUUGACUCUGUACCGGUACCCCCUGUAUAUAGCCUCCACAUUGACUCUGUACCGGUUCCCCCUGUAUAUAGCCUCCACAUUGACUCUGUACCGUAAUACCCUGUAUAUAGCCUCCACAUUGACUGUACCGUAACACCCUAUAUAUAGCCUCCACAUUGACUCUGUACUGGUACCCCUGUAUAUAGCCUCCACAUUGACUCUGUACCGGUACCCCCUGUAUAUAGCCUCCACAUUGACUCUGUACCGUA